AAAAAUUUAAAUUAAUUUACUAAAAAAUUAAUAGUUAUGUUCUUUAAAUUUAAAAAAUUUGGCGGUAUUUUAGUCUUAUUAGAGGAAUCUGUUUAUUAAUUGAUAAUCCACGAUUAAUUUUACUUAUUUUAAUUAAUUCAUAUAUCGCUGUCAUGAAUAUAUUUUAAAAAAUUUAUUUUCUUUAAUUAUUUUAAUAAUUUAUGUUAAGUCAAGAUGUGGUUUAUAAAUAAGAAUAUAAUGGAUUACAUUAAAUUUUAUUUUUGGAUUUUGAAUGAAAAUUAAAAUGAAAUUGGAUUUAAUAGUAAGUUUAUUUAUUUUAUUAAUAUGAAUAAAAAUCUA
rnacentral:rRNA from 1 species